rnacentral:lncRNA from 10 species
UGAAAAUUAAGAUGCAAACACAAACUUAGCUGUAUGAGGAGGGACAAAAUCGUCUCUAUUUGAUGAAGUCUCCCAGGUAAUCUGAACAGUCUCUAAGUCACAGCCUGGCUCCAUCUUGCUUGAUUGCUGAUGGGAAACCUUUGGAAAUUGGUGGGCAAAGCUGUAUGUGUGUCCUAGGAAAUGUAGGCAUGUAAGGGCAUCAGACAGAACUAUGGCGUGGAUUACCAAAUAUCAAGAAGACAUAUAGGCCCGGCACAAUGGCUUACGCCUGUAAUCCCAGCACUUAAAAAAAAGGCAAAGUAAUCACACAUCAAAAUCUGACUAGAUUCACUGGACUUUCUGUUCACCUGUUAAAUAGAGUAUGCAAUAGCAUUCAACAUCUUGGUGGUAACAGCAUUCAACGUGCCUGUCUCUUGAAUUGCGCUGCUCCGAUCCUCACAACUGUCCCCUGGAGCACAGCUGUCAUGCUGCGAUCUUCCUCCAUCAUCUUGGGGAUUCUCUCUGCCUCUGUCCUGUGUUAGAUCUCCUGUUUUAUUAUGGACAUAUAAGAGUUGUACACAUUUAUUGGGUAUAUGUCAUAUUUUGUUACAAGGAUACAAUGUGUAAUGAUCCAAUCAGGAUAACUGGGAUACCCAUCACCUGAAGGAUCUGUCAUUUCUUUGUG